CUGGAGGUGUUCUGGUAAAAAAGUUCACAAAUGUUCCAGAAACAAUUAUGUAUGAUCUAAGGGAAGGAAGUUUAAGAGGGCUAGAGGAAGGAGGAACAGCAAAGGAAAUAGAAUUUAAGUUGUAUUGUUUCUGUAUUUUUUUUUUCAGUUUUUAGUUUUGGAAUUUGAAAUUGAGAUUUAUUUUGUAUUUGAGUAUUAGUUUUUUAAUGUAUAAAACAAUUAUCGCAAA